AUACAUGCAAGUCGAGCGGUGCAGCAAUGCAUAGCGGCGAACGGGUGAGUAACGCGUAAGCAAUCUGCCCCCUAGUUCGGGAAUAGCCGUGCCAACGCGCGGGUAAUACCGGAUAUUGUGGCCCUGGACAUCCGGGGUUGACAAAAGAUUUAUCGACAGGGGAUGAGCUUGCGUCCGAUUAGCUAGUUGGCGGGGCAACGGCCCACCAAGGCGACGAUCGGUAGCCGGCCUGAGAGGGUGAUCGGCCACAUUGGGACUGAGAUACGGCCCAGACUCCUACGGGAGGCAGCAGUAGGGAAUAUUGCACAAUGGGGGAAACCCUGAUGCAGCAACGCCACGUGUUGGGGAAGAAGCAUUUCGGUGUGUAAACCACUGUCGUGAGGGAAUAAGGCUGAGUUUCGGCUCAGUUGAAUGUACCUCGAGAGGAAGCACCGGCAAACUUCGUGCCAGCCGCCGC
rnacentral:rRNA from 1 species